CUUUAAGUGUAAAGUGUCGCUAACCCCAUAGACUUUCCCAUGUGGCUUAACAUCUAAUAAGAACAGCUGCCGUAAGAACAAACUGUCCUCAGCAAGAGACAUCAGUCUGGUGUUUAGAAGCAGCAUGCCAUGGUAGAAAAGAAGCUCUUCAGGCCAAACAAAGCUGCACAGCCAGUCAUGGCCCUGUGAUUCCCCACUGUGACUGCCCCUCUUGGAAACAUAAGGCCUAGGAUGUUGCUAUUCAAAGUGCAAUUCUCUUCUCGGACUGGCAGCUUCAGCGUUACCCAGGAGCUUGCUGGAAAUGCAGACUCUCCUGCCUAGCCCGGGCCUGCUGAAUCAGGAUCUGCACUUUAACAAGAUCUCCAGAGAUGGGGUCUUGCUAUGUUGCUCAGGCUGGUCUC